UCAAAUGUGCAGGAAAUAAUUAUUCUACGAUGUCUUUGCCAGUCUUUUGAGCCUGAAUCACUGUUGAGACCUUAUUAAACAAUGUAAUGGCUUGGCUCAGAAAAUAAUUUUAUGACGUCUUUUAAUUCAAGUUUCUUAGUUUUUACAGUUCAAGUACUUUUCAGACUACUCUGGUUCUCUUCCAAAUUUAUAUGUGAGAUUCUUGAUAGGAGAGAAUUGUAAAUACAAUAAGGAACAUCAGCCUUAGCAUAUUUGUUAAUGUUUAUUUGGCCCUCUGGGAAAUAGGCCAGUAAAUUUUUAUUGUUUACUUUGAGGGGUUAUUUUAGUGAAAGUGACCCAAAUCAAAUCAAAACAUUUAAAUACCUACCCCUUGGGUUAUGGAUGAAGUGCAUAUGGAAACCACCCAAGCUUUAGGUGCUGCUAUUAGUGACAGAAAUAGUAACUGCUAACACAUUGUUUAUUCUUUGCCAGAAACUUUUAUAUUUGAAAAUACAUUCAAGGAGUUUCCUAGUGGCCUAGCAGUUAAGGACCCAGUGUUGUCACUGCUGUGGCACACGUUAGACCCCUGUGGCCAAAAAUAAAAUCCAUUCAAUUCUUGUAACCACUUUAUGAGGGAGAUGUAUCAUUAUUCCCAUACUAUAAGGUAAGGAAACGGAGUCACAGGGUUAAAAUAGCAUACCUAAUGCCGCAUAACUAGUAAGGGGAGGAGUCAGGACUCAAGCUCUGGUAAUUUGAUUGCAGAACUCACACUCAGUAAUUACAUCUACAACCUCUGUCCUAUAGUUAACAAGAGGUAGAGGAGACAAAAUUAAAUAUUAAGCCCUAAAAUGUUCAAAAUGAUAGUGAUACCUUCCAAAGAAAGUCUUAAAGUUAGGUUUGUAUGUGAAAGUACCAUACUAAGCACAAAUUAGUUUCUCACAUAUUCCAUGAUGGUACUACUGUCCCAUUGUAAGGAGGCAUGCUCUGACAAGUGUUUCGGUAACACAGGAUGUGGGAUGUUUAUGUGUUCUUGUCCCUCAGUGUGUAUGUGUGGUCCAUGGAUAUACUUGUAGCUAUAUGAAUUCAGUCGGCCUUUAAUAGUGUCCUCCCCUGAGAAAACUGUCCAGAAUAAAGCCACACAAUCUAUAGGUCACACUUGGUUGUACUGUUUUUGAGGUAUCAGCAUCAAACAGCAUUGUCAUCUCACUUUACAUGUCUCUGGAAGCUAAUCAAAAUCUAAAGGAAAAUUGACCUUUUGUAACUAAAAGACCACAAACAAACUAUACAUUUAAAUUGUAAACUUAGUUUGCAAAUUACCUAUCCCUAAGCUAUCAGAUAUACCAUUUUCUUAGUAUUUCAUGUCAAUUUAAAGAAUUGGACUUCUGGCAAAGCUUAAUAAUCAUUAACUUCUUUCUGUCUUACAGAGCAAUUCCAGGCAGUAUAUAGCAAGCUCUUACACAGCCUUCAGACAUACUCUUGGGUAUUACCUCAGAGAGGCAACCUCGUCCCCCCGCCAUUUCACAUACACAGAAAAUUGAUAGCUCCCGUUUCUGUUUUAUCAACCCUGUAGUCGUUUCAUUAUUGCUUAUGUGGCCUCAUAAUUGUGAUUAUUUUCUUCCUUAUUUCUCUAAGAUUAGCCUGUAAGCCUAAAAGGCUUGAGCCCAGGCGGUAUCUUAACUUAUUUGGUGACUAAUGUAGUAAAUAGAGCCAGUGACUUCACAUAGCACUCAGUAUUAUGUUAGUUCCCUUCCUUACUAUGGAAUACAUUGAUACCAAUAUUAGUAUGACUACUCAAAACAACUUACUUUUUAGAUAGCCAGAGUUAGACCUUACUUUUCAGUGGAAUUCUCCUAGUCUCAAUUAAGUCAAAUCUAUUUCCAGAUUACCAAUAUCACAUUUUCAUUGAAGGAUCAGAUGGAAAGAGAAAUGAAAAACAUGAAAUAGUUCUUGCCAGGCACUUAUUUUGACAUCACCACUGCCCCCACCAAAAAAAAAAAAAAAAAAAAAAAAAA
rnacentral:lncRNA from 1 species